rnacentral:rRNA from 1 species
GACGAACGCUGGCGGCGUGCUUAACACAUGCAAGUCGAACGGUAAGGCCCUUCGGGGUACACGAGUGGCGAACGGGUGAGUAACACGUGGGUGAUCUGCCCUGCACUUCGGGCUAAGCCUGGGAAACUGGGUCUAAUACCGGAUAGGACCCUGGGAUGCAUGUCCUGGGGUGGAAAGCUUUUGCGGUGUGGGAUGGGCCCGCGGCCUAUCAGCUUGUUGGUGGGGUGAUGGCCUACCAAGGCGACGACGGGUAGCCGGCCUGAGAGGGUGACCGGCCACACUGGGACUGAGAUACGGCCCAGACUCCUACGGGAGGCAGCAGUGGGGAAUAUUGCACAAUGGGCGCAAGCCUGAUGCAGCGACGCCGCGUGAGGGAUGACGGCCUUCGGGUUGCAAACCUCUUUCAGCACCGACGAAGCGCAAGUGACGGUAGGUGCAGAAGAAGGACCGGCCAACUACGUGCCAGCAGCCGCCGUAA